rnacentral:rRNA from 1 species
UACAGAGGUCCCAAGCGUUGUUCGGAUUCACUGGGCGUAAAGGGCGCGUAGGCGGCCGAUCAAGUCGGAGGUGAAAUCCCUCGGCUCAACUGAGGAAUUGCCUUCGAUACUGUUCGGCUUGAGUCCUGGAGAGGGUAGCGGAAUUCCCGGUGUAGCGGUGAAAUGCGUAGAGACCGGGAAGAACACCAGUGGCGAAGGCGGCUACCUGGACAGGUACUGACGCUGAAGCGCGAAAGCUAGGGGAGCAAACAGG